rnacentral:rRNA from 1 species
UACGUAGGGUGCGAGCGUUAAUCGGAAUUACUGGGCGUAAAGAGCGCGCAGGCGGUCGAUCAAGUCGAGUGUGAAAGCCCCCGGCUCAACCGGGGAGGGUCAUUCGAUACUGAUCGACUCGAAGGCAGGAGAGGGUAGUGGAAUUCCCGGUGUAGUGGUGAAAUGCGUAGAUAUCGGGAGGAACACCAGUGGCGAAGGCGACUACCUGGCCUGUUCUUGACGCUGAGGCGCGAAAGCUAGGGGAGCAAACGGG